GCGCUCUCCGCAGUGAUGUCAACCGCAUCCGCCGCAGCCCCUGGCAGCCCUAGCCCGCGCUGCGGCCCGCGGAAACCCCAGCCCCGCGCCUCCCGCCAGGGCCGAGGAGCAGAGGGUGCGCGGGUCCUCUGAGCCCCCCACUCCGUCUGCCUAAGCCGUGGAGACCGGGAGUGGACUCACGGCAGUGCCGGGAUCCCCGGGGAGGAGGAAGGAGAAGAGGAGAGGGAAGGGGGCUGUGGAGUCAGGUGUCGAUUUGACGCCCGCGGCCGCCGAGCGGACUCUGCCCCGGACUGGUGCCGCCUGGGGGGCGUUCAGGGAGCGUGGGGCGCCAACCACUGCAGAUGCGGCGGCGCGCGUGGGCUCGGGCAGGCACCCCCUUCUCCCGGGAUAGAAACGGAUAAACGGAAGCGCGUUCAGCAGAUGUGGCUUCCUUUACCUGAAUAAUCCGUUAAAGGAAUAAUAAUUUUUAAAAAGGAGCUCGACCUCACCCAAAGAGGACGGCGCACGAGAUUAGGGCUUGUAGAUCCACUGCCUUUGGUUGGGCUGGCUGAAUCGCUGGGGACUGCGGCCAGUCUCUUAAAAAGGAGAACAAAAAGCCGAAGACCUUGUGUGGCCGCACAAAGCACCUUGGGCUCGGCGAGAAGGGACGCGCAGGAGCGCUGAACCCGGAACACGCGUGGCCGCUGCGGAAGGGCGUCCGCCCGGCGUGCGGACCGCUGAGGGGAUCCAGCCGCAUUAUACACGAGUGACCUUUUAAAUCUACGUCCACCCUUUACCUGCGAGAGGACUGCAGCAGGCGAGUUCCGGAAAGCUGAAUCCCCAGGUCCCGGCCCCGGACCGAGGCAGCUCGCCCCUGCAGCACGCCCGGCCCGGCUGCGCCUGCACUCAGCGAUGGAGGAAAAAGCCUGGAUGCGAAAGGAUGGGGGAGAACAAAGAGCCUUUGGAAGACGUCGCUGUUAUCUCAUUGUCUGUGUGAUUGGGGGAGCUGCGGCGGGGAGGAUGCUGUGGUCCCUUCCUCCGGCGCUCCCCACCCCCAUCCCUCUCCCCGCUGUCAGUGCGCACGCACACGCGCCGCUUUUUAUUUCUUUUUCCUGGUUUUCUUAUUCCAUCUUCUACCCACCCCCCUUCCUUUCUUUCACCUUUCCUUCCUUCCUUCCUUCCUUCCUCCUUUCCUUCCUCAGGAGAAAGGCCUCUCUCUCCGUGUUCACAGCGGACCUUGAUUUAAAUGUCCAUACAAUUAAGGCACGCGGUGAAUGCCAAGAAUGGGGCUGGCUGAGCACCGUGGGUCGGCAAGGGCCCGCCAAGGAAGGAGCGACCGACCGAACCAGGCGCCCUCCGCAGACCUCAGCGCAGCGGCUGCGGGCGCGAGGGGAGGGGUUUCGAGCUCCCUCCGGCUGCCUGUCCCGCACCGGAGCCCGUGGGGUGGGGAGGUGUGCAGCCUGUGACAGACAGGGGCUUAGAGAUGCAAACAGACUCAGGGAGAGAAACAGAAGCUGGUUCUGUGACAGAAGCAGAUCUGUGCAGCACAGAUGCGGUGUGCGUGGGGAGGGGGUCGCUUGGGAGCGCAUUGCGGAGUGCUUGUGUGUGCAGAUUUUUCUCUGGGCUCAGGACUCAUUGUAUGUGGGUCGACACUUUCCUCCGUGACUGUGUUUUUGUUCUGAGCUGAGUUUUUCGAUUUGCCCUUAAAAAAAUAAUAAUUUGGCAUCCAGAGACUGGCAGACUGC
ensembl:lncRNA